GACGAACGCUGGCGGCGUGCUUAACACAUGCAAGUCGAGCGGUAAGGCCCUUUCGGGGGUACACGAGCGGCGAACGGGUGAGUAACACGUGGGUGACCUGCCUUCAGCUCUGGGAUAAGCCUGGGAAACUGGGUCUAAUACCGGAUAUGACCUCAUGACGCAUGUUGUGGGGUGGAAAGCCUUUGUGCGGCUGGGGGAUGGGCCCGCGGCCUAUCAGCUUGUUGGUGGGGUGAUGGCCUACCAAGGCGACGACGGGUAGCCGGCCUGAGAGGGCGACCGGCCACACUGGGACUGAGACACGGCCCAGACUCCUACGGGAGGCAGCAGUGGGGAAUCUUGCGCAAUGGGCGGAAGCCUGACGCAGCGACGCCGCGUGAGGGAUGACGGCCU
rnacentral:rRNA from 1 species